CUAACCUUAUCCUAGGGUUAACGCUAAUUGGACGGGCUAUUCAGUAAUGAUAUGUUCGAAGCUCCAAUGACAAUGUAGCCCUUUAAUGUAAGAAUUUUUCUUCCAGGGAGCUAGCGUGCAUAAAUCAUGGGAAGCGAAAGCAAAGGUGGCGAUUGAAGCUUCAUUACACUACUAGC
rfam:Magnaporthe poae ATCC 64411 mitochondrial scaffold supercont1.206, whole genome shotgun sequence.